rnacentral:rRNA from 1 species
AGCAGCCGCGGUAAUUCCAGCUCCAAUAGCGUAUAUUAAAGUUGUUGCAGUUAAAAAGCUCGUAGUUGAAUUUCGGGAUCAAUUUAUUGGUCGUGCUAUUGUACGUACUGGUAUUAUUGAUUCCUACCUUCUGACGAACCAUGAUGUCAUUAAUUUGGUGUCAUGGGGAAUCAGGACUGUUACUUUAGAAAAAUUGAGUGUUUAAAGCAGGCUCACGCUUGAAUACAUUAGCAUGGAAUAACGAAAUAGGACGUUUGAUUCUAUUUUGUUGGUUUCUAGGAUCGACGUAAUGAUUAAUAGGGAUAGUUGGGGGCAUUAGUAUUCAAUUGUCAGAGGUGAAAUUCUUGGAUUUAUUGAAGACUAACUACUGCGAAAGCAUUUGCCAAGGAUGUUUUCAUUAAUCAAGAACGAAAGUUAGGGGAUCGAAGACGAUCAGAUACCGUCGUAGUCUUAACCAUAAACUAUGCCGACUA